rnacentral:rRNA from 1 species
UAAGCGGAGGAAAAGAAACUAACAAGGAUUCCCCUAGUAACGGCGAGUGAAGCGGGAUGAGCUCAAAUUUAAAAUCUGGCAGUCUAAGAUUGUCCGAGUUGUAGUCUAGAGAAGCGUUUUCCGCGUAGGCCUGUGUACAAGUCCCUUGGAAUAGGGCGUCAUAGAGGGUGAGAAUCCCGUCCUUGACACAGAUCAUCUAUGCUUUGUGAUGCGCUCUCGAAGAGUCGAGUUGUUUGGGAAUGCAGCUCAAAAUGGGUGGUAAAUUCCAUCUAAAGCUAAAUACUGGCGAGAGACCGAUAGCGAACAAGUACCGUGAGGAAAGAUGAAAAGCACUUUGGAAAGAGAGUUAAACAGUACGUGAAAUUGUUGAAAGGGAAACGAUUGAAGUCAGUCAUGUGGUUCGAGAUUCAGCCGGUUCUGCCGGUGUAUUUCUCGAGCUACAGGCCAGCAUCAGUUUCGACCGGUGGAAAAAGUUGGAGGGAAUGUGGCAUCCUCGGAUGUGUUAUAGCCCUCUUUCACAUGCAUCGGACGGGACUGAGGAACGCAGCGUGCCUUUAUGGUCGGUCUUCGGACACGAACGCGCUUAAGAUGCUGGCAUAAUGGCUUUAAACGACCCGUCUUGAAACACG